rnacentral:sRNA from 1 species
CUUGAGCCGGGCGAGCGCUGUGGGCCAAGCAGGGGUUGCAGGGCAGUAGGAGUGCAGGUGACUUGGGGCCGGGAGCCAGCAAUAGGCAGGGUUGUGGGCUGGGCAGUGUGGAGGGGUAUUUCCCCCCAGUGCUGGGAGAGGCUAUGGCAAUCUAGAUAUGGCCUUAUCAAUGAAUGUUAAUUACCAACGGUAAUGAACGAUUGACUGCCUCGGCUGGGGCGGGUCGGGGACUGCUGUGUAAGAUGGGCAGGAUCCUGCGCGACACCUGCCCAGAUGUGGCUUUCUGAUUUUACAGAUCCGCUGUUGUACCAGGGGUCUAAUCAGGCCUGUGUCUGCCUCCUUCUUGAAUAGCCCAGUGAAUUCAUCUAAACAGCCUUCCUACAGCAACUUCCCACUCCAGGUGGCCAGACGGGAGUUCCAGACCAGUGUUGUCUCCCGGGACAUUGACACAGCAGCCAAGUUUAUUGGUGCUGGGGCAGCCACAGUUGGUGUGGCUGGUUCAGGGGCUGGCAUUGGAACCGUGUUUGGCAGCUUGAUCAUUGGCUAUGCCAGGAACCCGUCUCUCAAGCAGCAGCUCUUCUCCUAUGCCAUUCUCGGCUUUGCCCUGUCUGAGGCCAUGGGGCUUUUCUGUUUGAUGGUCGCCUUCCUCAUCCUCUUCGCCAUGUGAGGCUCCAUGGGGGGUCACCGGCCUGUUGCUGCUGCAACUCCACACCAUUCUUGGUGCUGGGGUGUGCUAAGCUUUACCAUUAAACACAACG